CCUACGGGCGGCAGCAGUGAGGAAUAUUGGUCAAUGGACGAGAGUCUGAACCAGCCAAGUAGCGUGAAGGAUGACUGCCCUAUGGGUUGUAAACUUCUUUUAUAUGGGAAUAAAACGUUCCACGUGUGGGAUUUUGUAUGUACCAUAUGAAUAAGGAUCGGCUAACUCCGUGCCAGCAGCCGCGGUAAUACGGAGGAUCCGAGCGUUAUCCGGAUUUAUUGGGUUUAAAGGGAGCGUAGGUGGAUUGUUAAGUCAGUUGUGAAAGUUUGCGGCUCAACCGUAAAAUUGCAGUUGAAACUGGCAGUCUUGAGUACAGUAGAGGUGAGCGGAAUUCGUGGUGUAGCGGUGAAAUGCUUAGAUAUCACGAAGAACUCCGAUUGCGAAGGCAGUUCACUGGACUGCAACUGACACUGAGGCUCGAAAGUGUGGGUAUCAAACAGGAUUAGAUACCCUGGUAGUC
rnacentral:rRNA from 1 species